rnacentral:rRNA from 1 species
UACGAAGGGGGCUAGCGUUGCUCGGAAUCACUGGGCGUAAAGCGCACGUAGGCGGAUUGUUAAGUCAGAGGUGAAAUCCCGGAGCUCAACUUCGGAACUGCCUUUGAUACUGGCAAUCUAGAGUCCGGAAGAGGUUAGUGGAAUUCCCAGUGUAGAGGUGAAAUUCGUAGAUAUUGGGAAGAACACCAGUGGCGAAGGCGGCUAACUGGUCCGGUACUGACGCUGAGGUGCGAAGGCGUGGGGAGCAAACAGG